rnacentral:rRNA from 1 species
UACGUAGGGGGCGAGCGUUUGUCCGGAUUUAUUGGGCGUAAAGAGCGUGUAGGCGGUUAUACAGGUCCGCUGUGAAAACUGGAGGCUCAACCUCCAGACGUCGACGGAAACCGUAUGGCUAGAGUCCGGAAGAGGAGAGUGGAAUUCCCGGUGUAGUGGUGAAAUGCGUAGAUAUCGGGAGGAACACCAGUGGCGAAGGCGAACUACCUGGCCUGUUUCUUGACGCUGAGGCGCGAAAGCUAGGGGAGCAACGGGG